rnacentral:rRNA from 1 species
AUGCUCUGCCUCACCUCCUCCUCGCCCUCGCUCCUGCCGCGCCCUUCCCGUCCCGCUGCUGACCGGCCCGGUCCGGGGAUCUCGGGCGGCGCCAAUGUGCGGCUGAGCGCGGUGCCCGCGCCGUCUCCGCUUCGCUGGAAGGCCAAGAGCGAUUUCUCUGCUCCCGUGUCUGCGCCAAGAGACUACACCAUGGCAACAGCUGAAGAUGGCGUCGGCGACCUUCCGAUAUACGAUCUGGAUCCGAAGUUUGCCGGCUUCAAGGAACACUUCAGUUACAGGAUGAAAAAGUAUCUUGAACAGAAACAUUCGAUUGAGAAAUAUGAGGGGGGCCUUGAAGAGUUCUCUAAAGGCUACUUGAAGUUUGGGAUCAACACAGAAAAUGACGCAACUGUGUACCGGGAAUGGGCCCCUGCAGCAAUGGAUGCACAACUUAUUGGUGACUUCAACAACUGGAAUGGCUCUGGGCACAGGAUGACAAAGGAUAAUUUUGGUGUUUGGUCAGUCAGGAUUUCCCAUGUCAAUGGGAAACCUGCCAUCCCCCAUAAUUCCAAGGUUAAAUUUCGAUUUCACCGUGGAGAUGGACUAUGGGUCGAUCGGGUUCCUGCAUGGAUUCGUUAUGCAACUUUUGAUGCCUCUAAAUUUGGAGCUCCAUAUGACGGUGUUCACUGGGAUCCACCAAUUGGUGAAAGGUAUGUGUUUAAGCAUCCUCGGCCUCGAAAGCCUGACGCUCCACGUAUUUACGAGGCUCAUGUGGGGAUGAGUGGUGAAAAGCCUGAAGUAAGCACAUACAGAGAAUUUGCAGACAAUGUGUUACCGCGCAUAAAGGCAAACAACUACAACACAGUUCAGCUGAUGGCAAUCAUGGAACAUUCAUAUUAUGCUUCUUUUGGGUACCAUGUGACAAAUUUCUUCGCAGUUAGCAGCAGAUCAGGCACGCCAGAGGACCUCAAAUAUCUUGUUGACAAGGCACACAGUUUAGGGUUGCGUGUUCUGAUGGAUGUUGUCCAUAGCCAUGCGAGCAGUAAUAAGACAGAUGGUCUUAAUGGCUAUGAUGUUGGGCAAAACACACAGGAGUCCUAUUUCCACACAGGAGAAAGGGGCUAUCAUAAACUGUGGGAUAGCCGCCUGUUCAACUAUGCCAAUUGGGAGGUCUUACGAUUUCUUCUUUCUAAUCUGAGAUAUUGGAUGGACGAAUUCAUGUUUGAUGGCUUCCGAUUUGACGGGGUAACAUCCAUGCUAUAUAAUCACCAUGGUAUCAAUAUGUCAUUCACUGGAAGUUACAAGGAAUAUUUUGGUUUGGAUACUGAUGUAGAUGCAGUUGUUUACCUGAUGCUCGCGAACCAUUUAAUGCACAAACUCUUGCCAGAAGCAACUGUUGUUGCAGAAGAUGUUUCAGGCAUGCCAGUGCUUUGUCGGUCAGUUGAUGAAGGUGGAGUAGGGUUUGACUAUCGCCUGGCUAUGGCUAUUCCUGAUAGAUGGAUCGACUACUUGAAGAACAAAGAUGACCUUGAAUGGUCAAUGAGUGGAAUAGCACAUACUUUGACCAACAGGAGGUAUACGGAAAAGUGUAUUGCAUAUGCUGAGAGCCAUGAUCAGUCUAUUGUUGGCGACAAGACUAUGGCAUUUCUCUUGAUGGACAAGGAAAUGUAUACUGGCAUGUCUGACUUGCAGCCUGCUUCAAUUACAGUUGAUCGUGGCAUUGCACUUCAAAAGAUGAUUCACUUCAUCACCAUGGCCCUUGGAGGUGAUGGCUACUUAAAUUUUAUGGGCAAUGAGUUUGGCCACCCAGAAUGGAUUGACUUUCCAAGAGAAGGCAACAACUGGAGUUAUGAUAAAUGCAGACGCCAGUGGAGCCUCGCGGACAUUGAUCACCUACGAUACAAGUACAUGAACGCAUUUGAUCAAGCAAUGAAUGCGCUCGACGACAAAUUUUCCUUCCUAUCAUCAUCAAAGCAGAUUGUCAGCGACAUGAAUGAGGAAAAGAAGAUUAUUGUAUUUGAACGUGGAGAUCUGGUUUUCGUCUUCAAUUUUCAUCCCAGUAAAACUUAUGAUGGUUACAAAGUCGGAUGUGACUUGCCUGGGAAGUACAAGGUAGCUCUGGACUCCGAUGCUCUGAUGUUUGGUGGACAUGGAAGAGUGGCCCAUGACAACGACCACUUCACGUCGCCUGAAGGAGUACCAGGAGUACCUGAAACAAACUUCAACAACCGCCCUAACUCAUUCAAAAUCCUGUCUCCAUCCCGUACUUGUGUGGCUUACUAUCGCGUCGAGGAAAAAGCGGAAAAGCCCAAGGGUGAAGGAGCUGCUUCUUGGGGCAAAACUGCUCUCGGGUACAUCGAUGUUGAAGCUACUCACGUCAAAGACGCAGCAGAUGGUGAGGCGACUUCUGGUUCCUAA